CAUGACACACAAUCCAUGCAUACAACGGGUUUCGCAGUCUAACGAGCUCUAUUUUAAAUCAGAUAGUUCGUUGUCGACGAAACCUGCAUUUUGCAAUGGAUAAUUCAGCA
rnacentral:pre_miRNA from 1 species